GCCUCUGUAGCUCAUUUGGUUAGAGCGCUGCACCGGAAUCGCAGGGCCGUAGGUUCAAUUCCUACCAGAGGAC
rnacentral:tRNA from 1 species